rnacentral:rRNA from 1 species
UACGUAGGGGGGCAAGCGUUGUCCGGAUUUAUUGGGCGUAAAGAGCUCGUAGGCGGUUCGGCAAGUCGGAUGUGAAAUCUCCACGCUUAACGUGGAGGGGCCAUUCGAAACUGCCGUGACUCGAGUCCGAUAGAGGUGGGUGGAAUUCCUAGUGUAGAGGUGAAAUUCGUAGAUAUUAGGAAGAACACCGGUGGCGAAGGCGGCCCACUGGAUCGGUACUGACGCUGAGGUGCGAAAGCGUGGGGAGCAAACAGG